AUGGAUGGCGGGGAGUCGCCCGCAGACAAAUGUGGGGAGACUGGCGAGUCAGAGGAGACGAUCGCUGCUCCCAGAGACCCAGGGGCUGCGGACACCGAAGGAGCACCCGAAGAAACGGAGGGCGACGGAGACGCGGGCCCGAAAGAGGCCGCAGCGGAGGAAGGCAAGAGUCGGGAUGCCUCAGAUUGGACAGCAACUGAAAGGGAAGACACAUCACUACCUACUCCUGCUGCCAAAAAGCUGAAGGUAGAUACCAGAGAAAAGAGGAAGCAAAAAGUGGAUCAAGAGGAGAUUCAAAAGAUGCAAAUCCUAGUUUCUUCGUUUUCUGAGGAGCAGCUGAGCCGCUAUGAAAUGUAUCGCCGGUCAGCGUUUCCUAACGCAGCCAUUAGAAGGCUAAUCCAGUCCGUCACUGGCACAUCUGUAUCCCAGAAUGUUGUUAUUGCUAUGUCUGGGAUUGCCAAGGUUUUUGUCGGGGAGGUGGUGGAAGAAGCCCUGGAUGUAUGUGAGAAGUGGGGGGAAAUGCCACCACUACAGCCCAAACACAUGAGGGAGGCUGUUCGAAGGCUGAAGUCGAAGGGGCAGAUCCCUAACUCAAAGCACAAAAAAAUCUUCUAG